rnacentral:rRNA from 1 species
GUGAGGAAUAUUGCGCAAUGGAGGCAACUCUGACGCAGCCAUGCCGCGUGCAGGAAGAAGGCGCUACGCGUUGAAAACUGCUUUUAACCGGGAAGAAACCCCAGGACGUGUCCUGGGUUGACGGUACCGGAGGAAUAAGCACCGGCUAACUUCGUGCCAGCAGCCGCGGUAAUACGAAGGGUGCAAGCGUUAUCCGGAUUCAUUGGGUUUAAAGGGUGCGUAGGCGGAGCGUUAAGUCAGUGGUGAAAUCCUGCAGCUUAACUGUAGACUUGCCAUUGAUACUGGCGCUCUUGAGUGAGCUUGAAGUGGGCGGAAUGUGCCGUGUAGCGGUGAAAUGCUUAGAUAUGGCACAGAACACCAAUUGCGAAGGCAGCUCACUAAGGCGAUACUGACGCUGAGGCACGAAAGCGUGGGGAUCGAACAGGAUUAGAUACCCGGGUAGUCC